ensembl:lncRNA
AGUGAGGCUAGGGAUCAAACCCGCCACGUCAUAGUUCCUAGUCGAAUUUGUUUCCACUGUACCACGUUGGGAACUCCUGCAGUCAGGUUCUUAACUCACUGUGCCAUAGCAGGAACUCUAAUAGAGGCAGUUUAACUAUGUUGCCUCUACUUUUCUUUCUACAGGGAAACACAGGACAGAACUGAGGAUGCAUCAACCCUCAACAGCACAGGGUGAGCAACUCUGCUCUCCUCACCCAAUUGAGGAUUGAUGUUUGGCACCUGCUCUGGAGAAAGUGACCUGUGAAUGAGAGAAUGGAAGGAGCCCAAGUCUGGAGAUGAUGAUAAUAAUCCAGUGGCAAGAUGAUGAAGACUUGGCCUAUGACAGUAGCAAUGGAGAUGAACAGGAUGUACCUGAUUUGGACAGAGAGAACACUGAAAAUGUUUAGUAAUCCCAAGGAUGCAGUCUGUCUCCAACAUUCCACACUAUGUCCAGAUACUACAAGAAAAAUACGAAAAGUGAUUGCUCUAUCAUCAUCAUCACGGACAAACAACAUUGAUGUGUGCCUGCCCUGCUGGAAGGGGAAAAGUGGAGGCAUCCGUGUUAGGGUGGAGAUCAAAGCCAUGCAUCAGGCAGCAAAAUGCUCAAGGCAAAGAAUGUUCAGGUACAUAGGUGUGCAGAGGAGGUGGUAAAAGCAGAGAUCCCCAGGGGCCUGAAGAUGAAGGGAGGACUUUUCUGCAGCAUGCUGAUCUCAAGCUGCUUUUCGAAGAACAGCUAGGAAGCAGAGAAGUACACCGUAUGUUAGGCAGGAGAGACAAUAGAGAAAGGCUUAGUUUAUUAUGAGGUUAUAGAAGAUAACAGUGAAGAAAGAGGGGCCCAACUGUGAAAGACACAAAUGACACAUUAACGGAGAAGUUUGUGCUUUAUCCUCUAGCCACUUGAAAACAGCCAAGGAUUUUGAAAGGGAGAGAAGAGGGAUGAACAUUACAAAAAGUCUUUUAGAAGGAUUCCUUUGACCUCCAGGUGUGGGCUGUUAGUUGUAGUGAUGGUGAGGGAACAUAUGGGGCCAAAGCCUAGAGAUGUGGAUUUCAAGAAGAAAUAGAUAAAACCAGAGGCCUUGUUUUGGUGUGAGUAUUUAUGGGAAACAAUGCACUACAUUUUAAAAGCAAAGAUCGAAGGAUGUUGUUUACGUAAAAUCAAUAGGUGAGUCUUCAGUGAUUUGGGGUAUUUGACCUCUUCUUCCAGUUUCAUGUUUUAAAGAAAAUAUAAGAACAAGGUGAAUAUUGAUUUCUUCUUUUAAUUAUGCAUGAGUAAAUGUAUGUUAUAUUACCAUGAAUAUCUUUUCUUUCUUAGACUUAAGUUUACCUAAAAUACUACUUAUUGCUAAAUUAACAAUUCUACAACAUGAAAGUGAAUAUUUAAAAAUAAGUUAUUUUCCCUAAUAGUACAACUCUUUUUUAUUUUCUAUGUUCCCUUCCAGACUUAAUCCCUAUAUGUAAUUUAUUUCAUAUGACUGUCAUUACAGUUAUUUAUGUGAAUGUCAUUGAAGUCUACAUAUUAAGUGAUGUGUUUUAAUUGAAAAUACAUAAAUAAACCAAAAAGUCAUAAAAUAGUAUAAAAAUAA